GGGUUGUGAGGUUAAGCGACUAAGCGUACACGGUGGAUGCCCUGGCAGUCAGAGGCGAUGAAGGACGUGCUAAUCUGCGAUAAGCGUCGGUAAGGUGAUAUGAACCGUUAUAACCGGCGAUUUCCGAAUGGGGAAACCCAGUGUGAUUCGUCACACUAUCAUUAACUGAAUCCAUAGGUUAAUGAGGCGAACCGGGGGAACUGAAACAUCUAAGUACCCCGAGGAAAAGAAAUCAACCGAGAUUCCCCCAGUAGCGGCGAGCGAACGGGGAGCAGCCCAGAGCCUGAAUCAGUGUGUGUGUUAGUGGAAGCGUCUGGAAAGGCGCGCGAUACAGGGUGACAGCCCCGUACACAAAAAUGCACAUACUGUGAGCUCGAUGAGUAGGGCGGGACACGUGGUAUCCUGUCUGAAUAUGGGGGGACCAUCCUCCAAGGCUAAAUACUCCUGACUGACCGAUAGUGAACCAGUACCGUGAGGGAAAGGCGAAAAGAACCCCGGCGAGGGGAGUGAAAAAGAACCUGAAACCGUGUACGUACAAGCAGUGGGAGCACGCUUAGGCGUGUGACUGCGUACCUUUUGUAUAAUGGGUCAGCGACUUAUAUUCUGUAGCAAGGUUAACCGAAUAGGGGAGCCGAAGGGAAACCGAGUCUUAACUGGGCGUUAAGUUGCAGGGUAUAGACCCGAAACCCGGUGAUCUAGCCAUGGGCAGGUUGAAGGUUGGGUAACACUAACUGGAGGACCGAACCGACUAAUGUUGAAAAAUUAGCGGAUGACUUGUGGCUGGGGGUGAAAGGCCAAUCAAACCGGGAGAUAGCUGGUUCUCCCCGAAAGCUAUUUAGGUAGCGCCUCGUGAAUUCAUCUCCGGGGGUAGAGCACUGUUUCGGCAAGGGGGUCAUCCCGACUUACCAACCCGAUGCAAACUGCGAAUACCGGAGAAUGUUAUCACGGGAGACACACGGCGGGUGCUAACGUCCGUCGUGAAGAGGGAAACAACCCAGACCGCCAGCUAAGGUCCCAAAGUCAUGGUUAAGUGGGAAACGAUGUGGGAAGGCCCAGACAGCCAGGAUGUUGGCUUAGAAGCAGCCAUCAUUUAAAGAAAGCGUAAUAGCUCACUGGUCGAGUCGGCCUGCGCGGAAGAUGUAACGGGGCUAAACCAUGCACCGAAGCUGCGGCAGCGACGCUUAUGCGUUGUUGGGUAGGGGAGCGUUCUGUAAGCCUGUGAAGGUGUACUGUGAGGUAUGCUGGAGGUAUCAGAAGUGCGAAUGCUGACAUAAGUAACGAUAAAGCGGGUGAAAAGCCCGCUCGCCGGAAGACCAAGGGUUCCUGUCCAACGUUAAUCGGGGCAGGGUGAGUCGACCCCUAAGGCGAGGCCGAAAGGCGUAGUCGAUGGGAAACAGGUUAAUAUUCCUGUACUUGGUGUUACUGCGAAGGGGGGACGGAGAAGGCUAUGUUGGCCGGGCGACGGUUGUCCCGGUUUAAGCGUGUAGGCUGGUUUUCCAGGCAAAUCCGGAAAAUCAAGGCUGAGGCGUGAUGACGAGGCACUACGGUGCUGAAGCAACAAAUGCCCUGCUUCCAGGAAAAGCCUCUAAGCAUCAGGUAACAUCAAAUCGUACCCCAAACCGACACAGGUGGUCAGGUAGAGAAUACCAAGGCGCUUGAGAGAACUCGGGUGAAGGAACUAGGCAAAAUGGUGCCGUAACUUCGGGAGAAGGCACGCUGAUAUGUAGGUGAAGUCCCUCGCGGAUGGAGCUGAAAUCAGUCGAAGAUACCAGCUGGCUGCAACUGUUUAUUAAAAACACAGCACUGUGCAAACACGAAAGUGGACGUAUACGGUGUGACGCCUGCCCGGUGCCGGAAGGUUAAUUGAUGGGGUCAGCGCAAGCGAAGCUCUUGAUCGAAGCCCCGGUAAACGGCGGCCGUAACUAUAACGGUCCUAAGGUAGCGAAAUUCCUUGUCGGGUAAGUUCCGACCUGCACGAAUGGCGUAAUGAUGGCCAGGCUGUCUCCACCCGAGACUCAGUGAAAUUGAACUCGCUGUGAAGAUGCAGUGUACCCGCGGCAAGACGGAAAGACCCCGUGAACCUUUACUAUAGCUUGACACUGAACAUUGAGCCUUGAUGUGUAGGAUAGGUGGGAGGCUUUGAAGUGUGGACGCCAGUCUGCAUGGAGCCGACCUUGAAAUACCACCCUUUAAUGUUUGAUGUUCUAACGUUGACCCGUGAUCCGGGUUGCGGACAGUGUCUGGUGGGUAGUUUGACUGGGGCGGUCUCCUCCUAAAGAGUAACGGAGGAGCACGAAGGUUGGCUAAUCCUGGUCGGACAUCAGGAGGUUAGUGCAAUGGCAUAAGCCAGCUUGACUGCGAGCGUGACGGCGCGAGCAGGUGCGAAAGCAGGUCAUAGUGAUCCGGUGGUUCUGAAUGGAAGGGCCAUCGCUCAACGGAUAAAAGGUACUCCGGGGAUAACAGGCUGAUACCGCCCAAGAGUUCAUAUCGACGGCGGUGUUUGGCACCUCGAUGUCGGCUCAUCACAUCCUGGGGCUGAAGUAGGUCCCAAGGGUAUGGCUGUUCGCCAUUUAAAGUGGUACGCGAGCUGGGUUUAGAACGUCGUGAGACAGUUCGGUCCCUAUCUGCCGUGGGCGCUGGAGAACUGAGGGGGGCUGCUCCUAGUACGAGAGGACCGGAGUGGACGCAUCACUGGUGUUCGGGUUGUCAUGCCAAUGGCACUGCCCGGUAGCUAAAUGCGGAAGAGAUAAGUGCUGAAAGCAUCUAAGCACGAAACUUGCCCCGAGAUGAGUUCUCCCUGACUCCUUGAGAGUCCUGAAGGAACGUUGAAGACGACGACGUUGAUAGGCCGGGUGUGUAAGCGCAGCGAUGCGUUGAGCUAACCGGUACUAAUGAACCGUGAGGCUUAACCUUACAACGCCGAAGCUGUU
rnacentral:rRNA from 1 species